rnacentral:rRNA from 1 species
UAGGGAAUCUUCCACAAUGGACGCAAGUCUGAUGGAGCAACGCCGCGUGAGUGAAGAAGGUCUUCGGAUCGUAAAGCUCUGUUGUUGGUGAAGAAGGAUAGAGGCAGUAACUGGUCUUUAUUUGACGGUAAUCAACCAGAAAGUCACGGCUAACUACGUGCCAGCAGCCGCGGUAAUACGUAGGUGGCAAGCGUUGUCCGGAUUUAUUGGGCGUAAAGCGAGCGCAGGCGGAAUGAUAAGUCUGAUGUGAAAGCCCACGGCUCAACCGUGGAACUGCAUCGGAAACUGUCAUUCUUGAGUGCAGAUGAGGAGAGUGGAACUCCAUGUGUAGCGGUGGAAUGCGUAGAUAUAUGGAAGAACACCAGUGGCGAAGGCGGCUCUCAU